rnacentral:rRNA from 1 species
AAUCAACGCUGGCGGCGUGCCUCAGACAUGCAAGUCGAACGCGAAAGUUCCCUUCGGGGAGCAAGUAGAGUGGCGCACGGGUGAGUAACACGUAGGUAAUCUACCUUUGGAUGGGGAAUAACAACCGGAAACGGUUGCUAAUACCGCAUAAUGCAGCGGCACCUAAUGGUGACAGUUGUUAAAGCGGGGGAUCGAAAGACCUCGCGUCUGAAGAGGAGCCUGCGGCGGAUAGCUAGUUGGUAAGGUAAUGGCUUACCAAGGCUUCGAUCCGUAGCCGGCCUGAGAGGGUGUUCGGGUCACACUGGGACUGAGAUACGGCCCAGACUCCUACGGGAGGCAGCAGUGGGGGAUUUUGCACAAUGGACGAAAGUCUGAUGCAGUGACGCCGCGUGGGGGA